UGAAAGGCGAAACGUAAUGUGAAUCGCAACUAACAGUGAAUCAUCGAAUCUUUGAACGCAGGCCGCAUCUUGAAUUAUCAUUCUGUGAUAAUUCAAGGUAUCUAUGUAUGAGUGUCAGCCCAAUAUCAUUUUGGUUCAAGAGGAGAAAAGUGUGAUACUUGUAUCUGCAUAAUAAAACUUUUGAAUACAUCGAUAUGAUAUGUGAAUUUGCCACAAAUGUCUGGCCUCAUAUGUGGAAGGUUACCCGCUGGAUUUAA
rnacentral:misc_RNA from 1 species